rnacentral:rRNA from 1 species
GCAGUCGAACGGUAGCACAGAGAGCUUGCUCUCGGGUGACGAGUGGCGGACGGGUGAGUAAUGUCUGGGAAACUGCCUGAUGGAGGGGGAUAACUACUGGAAACGGUAGCUAAUACCGCAUAACGUCGCAAGACCAAAGAGGGGGACCUUCGGGCCUCUUGCCAUCAGAUGUGCCCAGAUGGGAUUAGCUAGUAGGUGGGGUAACGGCUCACCUAGGCGACGAUCCCUAGCUGGUCUGAGAGGAUGACCAGCCACACUGGAACUGAGACACGGUCCAGACUCCUACGGGAGGCAGCAGUGGGGAAUAUUGCACAAUGGGCGCAAGCCUGAUGCAGCCAUGCCGCGUGUAUGAAGAAGGCCUUCGGGUUGUAAAGUACUUUCAGCGGGGAGGAAGGUGUUGUGGUUAAUAACCGCAGCAAUUGACGUUACCCGCAGAAGAAGCACCGGCUAACUCCGUGCCAGCAGCCGCGGUAAUACGGAGGGUGCAAGCGUUAAUCGGAAUUACUGGGCGUAAAGCGCACGCAGGCGGUCUGUCAAGUCGGAUGUGAAAUCCCCGGGCUCAACCUGGGAACUGCAUUCGAAACUGGCAGGCUGGAGUCUUGUAGAGGGGGGUAGAAUUCCAGGUGUAGCGGUGAAAUGCGUAGAGAUCUGGAGGAAUACCGGUGGCGAAGGCGGCCCCCUGGACAAAGACUGACGCUCAGG